AAGUUUGCGGCGAGGGUUGGGGUCGCCGUGAGGGUUGCUGCAGCCGUGCCCGCGAAGAUGACCGCGCUCGUCCGCUCCGCGUUGCCUGGCGGCGGGCCCGGCCUUCCCCCGCCCUCCCCGGGGAGUGGGGGAGGAAGCAGGCGAGAGGCCGUGCGCCUCGCAAGCGGCUGUUGCGGCUCUCGGCCCGCAGCGCUCGGCUCCAAUCAGAGCCUGCGGCGCUUCAGUCGGGCGCGGCUCUGCCGUUUGACCUCGGCCGUGAUCUGCUGCCUCCUCAGCCUGCUCUGGGGGUUUGCUUUGCCCUUUGAAGGCCCCUGUUGUCCACGUUUCACCUUUUUGCUGCUCCAGCGGGUGUUUACCACAUGUAAUAACGUCAUAGGUCGGAUUUGUCUGUUACGUUCUGUAACUUAUCUCUACAGGACUGAAAGAAAAACUUUGAAGAGGCAGACCGGACUUAAAGUGGAUACAGGCACACAGAUGGCAGAUAACAGUAAAGCAGAAGAUACUGCUUCAGAUUCUGUGGAGGCUGCUAAAAAUGCAAGUGACAAAAAAGAAAAGCUGGCAGACCAGGUGAUGCAGAAUCCACAAGUCCUGGCAGCUCUACAGGAACGACUUGACAACACAGCACUUACCCCUUCAAGUUACAUUGAAACUUUACCAAAAGCAGUGAAAAGAAGAAUUGAUGCCUUGAAACAACUCCAGGUGAAAUGUGCCCACAUAGAAGCUAAAUUUUAUGAAGAAGUACAUGAUUUAGAGAGAAAAUAUGCAGCACUCUAUCAACCUCUUUUUGAUAAGAGGAGAGAGUUUAUUAAUGGAGAAGCAGAACCCACAGAUGCAGAGUCAGAAUGGCACAGUGAAAACGAGGAAGAAGAGAAGCUAGCAGGAGACCUGAAAAAUGUAGUGGUAAUAGAAGAAAAAGCAGAAGCAGAAGAGAUAAAUGUCAAAGGAAUUCCAGACUUCUGGUUUACUAUCUUUAGGAAUGUAGAUAUGCUAAGUGAAUUAGUACAAGAAUAUGAUGAACCAAUCUUGAAACACCUACAGGAUAUCAAAGUUAAGUUUUCUGAACCUGGACAGCCUAUGUCUUUCUCAUUAGAGUUCCACUUUGGGCCCAACGACUACUUUUCUAAUACAGUCCUGACAAAAACCUACAAGAUGAAGUCAGAGCCAGACAAGACGGAUCCCUUUUCAUUUGAAGGACCUGAAAUAGUUGAUUGUGAUGGGUGCACUAUUGACUGGAAGAAAGGAAAGAAUGUUACAGUUAAAACAAUCAAGAAGAAACAGAAGCACAAGGGUCGAGGCACAGUUCGGACAAUUACUAAACAAGUACCUAACGAUUCUUUUUUUAACUUCUUCAGCCCAAUAAAGGUAUCUGGUGAUGGGGAGUCAUUGGAUGAAGAUUCAGAGUUCACUUUAGCUGCAGACUUUGAAAUUGGGCACUUCUUCCGUGAAAGGAUAGUCCCACGUGCUGUGCUUUAUUUCACAGGGGAAGCUAUAGAGGAUGAUGAUAAUUUUGAAGAAGGUGAAGAAGGUGAAGAGGAGUUUAUCUCUAUUUUGUCAUAGGAGUUGGAGGGGGAAGAGGAGGGAGAAGAAGAGGAAGAUGCAGAGAGUGAUCCUAAGGUGUAAUUUAAGUCUGUUUAUCAUUCAUACAUUUCUAGAAAGAUUCCAGCCAACCUGCUGAAUGCAAACAACAGUAAUAAGGAAAUACCACUUCAAAGUGAUAUUUGAACAACAUGUAACAAAUAUUUGGAUACCUGGCCUGCAGUUCAGGAUACUUCAUCGCUGCAGCACAAUCUUAUUAACAAUGCUUAAAAUUAAUUUGUUUUAAAAUGCAUGAUUUUCACUAACUUUUCUUUAUUGCUUAACAUGUACAGUGGCAAUUUCAAUGCAUUUGGGAAAUAAGAGGUUUAAAUAAAGCACACUCUACAGCCGUUGGUACACUGUAGCUUAGUAUGUCAGUAGGCCUUUAGGGCCUUUUACCCUAUGCAUAGGGGAAUAGUCCAGACUACCAAGUGAAGAUUCUCCAUUUUCUUGUUAACCUUGAAAACUGUGGAGUAGCAAUGUGCUGAGAAGCUAAAGUGAAUGGAUUACAUGUAUGGUAGCUGAAACAGAGCAAUAUGAACUUUUUGCUAGUUCCCCCCCCCCCCCCCCUUUUUUUUUUUUUUUAAUGUUUCUUGCAACCUACAAAUCAAACUAGUGCUUGAGCAGCUUUAAAUGUCAUAUUUAUUAUCUCAGUAAAACCAAUCGAAUUGAAGUAAUUUUACUUCAUGGAAGGGGUGUCAUAUUUGAGACUUAGUUGUUCAUCUUACUAUUUAUUUAUUCAUGUUUGUAAGUACUUUGACAGAAUUAGUGCUCUUUAAUAGUUUUUAAUAUACUUGAAAAUAUUCUUCCUGUUUUGCAUAAAAUAUGGGUACUUGUAAAACAGUUUUUUUAAAUUGGUUUCAAUGUAAUAGCCUAAACAGAAGAAAUGAACUUACAUCAGAAUGACAACUCUUCUGGAUGGAGAUGAAAACAUAAAGGCCAAACUGUUGCUGUUGAUGGAAGUGGGUUGCAGCCAAAGAACCAGACAAGUUCCAGUAGUCUUAUCGCUUAGUGUCCAGCAUGGAAAGACCUUACACUCCGAACACAGAAGCUUAAUGAAAUUCAAUUCAAUAAAUCUGAAGUUUUGGUGUCUUACUUGCAACACUGAAAUUAUUUCAUUCCACAGUUUGUUUUAUUUAAAGCUCUGAAGUCUUCAGAACUACUUCCUGUUGUUGUGCGGCACUUCAGGUACAUGUUUCUAGUUUCAGCAUCCAUUGCCAACCUCUGGCAGCAAUUGAAUAGCAGCUGUAUCAACACUGUGACCAGGCAUGUAGAGUGCUCCAGCCUUACCUUACACAUUUGUAACUUAAUACGGUGUUUUCAAUUUGUACAGAAUAGAUAGAAUAUUCUAUUAAAGUUGUGAAACAUUAA